rnacentral:rRNA from 1 species
GAUGAACGCUAGCUAUAGGCUUAACACAUGCAAGUCGAGCGACCGGCGCACGGGUGAGUAACACGUAUCCAACCUGCCCUUUACUCGGGGACAGCCUUUCGAAAGCAAGAUUAAUACCCGUUGUAAAGCAUGAGUAUGCGUUCAAUUAGGGUGUUGGUGAGGUAACGGCUCACCAAGCCUUCGAUGGUUCGGGGUUAGGUGAGGAAGGUACACCACCUUGGAACUGAUACACGGUCCAAACUCCAACGGGAGGCAGCAGUGAGGAAGAUUGGUCAAUGGGCGUUAGCCUGAACGAGCCAAGUAGCGGGUAGGAUGAAGGCUGAUGGGAAGUAAACUUCUUUUAUAUGAGAAUCUGUAUUAUAUGAAUAAGGAUCGGCUAACUCCGUGCCAGCAGCCGCGGUAAUAC